UUAAAAAUUUAUUUUGAACUUAACUUUUAAGUUAAAAAUUAUCUUCUGACGUUUGAUGAUGUUUAAUUAUUUUCUUGUUUUAAGUAUUAUUUGCCCUCUGGUGUUUCUGAAAAUUGAGAUUAAUGUAUGAGAUUUUUCUCACAGAACCUUGCAUCUCUAUUUGAUAGCAAAAGGAAUCCCCGUUUUGUUAUUCUGAUAACAACUAGUUCUAUUCACUAACUAAAUUUGAGAUGGUCAGUAAAAAGUACUUUAAUAUAAAAAUAAUAAUAAAAUCAAACAAAGGUGUAGGGUUAUUAUUUGUUAUUAGCCAAUUAAUAAAGGUUUUACAGAAUUAAGAUAAUUUUAAAUGUGUGUUCUUUUUUAUCACUGACAUUAUUUUAUUUAACAACUUAUUAUUCGGAACUUGUUAAAAGUUUUGUAAUUAGAAUUUUUAUGACAAAUUUGCCAAAACUAAGUGAACUGUGUGAUAUAUUUUAGGAAUCUCUUUAUAUUGUUAUACCUGUUAAUAACUUACAAUGAAUGUAAUAAAGAAAAGCUACUUAUAUUGAAUUGUUGCUGUUUCAACUGUGACUAUGGAGCUUGAUAAUAUUGGUAUACAGGAGUCAGAAUUUCUAUAAAAACCUCAACUACAACCAGUGAAAGAAAUUCAAAAUAUAAUGAAUUGCUUAUAGUUAAAUAAGUGCUUCUUACAAAUAUUUAUAUUUAUUUAGUUGGUGCUGCAAUUUUUUUUGCCAUUUCAAGUAAGUCAACAAUAAGAUAUGAAAAUUGAGUCCGCUGUGAUAAAAUUAUUUCAAUAAUAAUGCAUAAUAUGUAAAAUGCAAUGGUAUAAAAGAUUACAAAUUUGUAUAAAAUUAAUGGACAGUUCUUUUUUAUUUUUAGAAAGCUUAAUUUUUAUAAAACUGAAUUCUUCAUUUGAGUGAAUAUUACUAGGUAAAUCAAGUGUGAACAAGAAUAAAACUUCUAAGAGGCGGUGCCGAUUUAAAAGAGUUGAUUUAUUAUCUUAUUGCUACUUUUACUAAUAAGACAGGAGAAAACUGAAAUUGUUUGUUAGGCUAUUGUUCCCCCAAUUGCCUAAAACUAACAUUUUCCAUUUUUAUACCUCCUUUCAAAUUUAUGAACAGCUUUCUUAAUAUUUGCUCCAUGCAUAUGAUAUUUAAAUUUGCAGUUGAAAGUUUUUUUUUUUUAAGAAUGGAUUCUGUGGACUACCUUUGCAGGUGUGAAAAUAAUAGAGAGAUUUUACAUUCUCACUUAGCAUCUUGCGUGGUACACAAGCACUGUAGUUGAGAUGGUUCUGUAGUAGCUGCACAGAAUCUAUUUAAAAGUGCAAAAUCUCUCUGACAUUCAUGAGUAUUGUUUUUGUUUCUGUCUGUGUCAAUGGUCUGGUGUGUAAUAAUACAGAGUGAUAUUUUGAAUUUUCUCUGUUAUUAGAUCUAAAUACUUAUUCUGUGAUGUUAUUUUGAAAGUUUUUUUCUAAUUAUUUUUUUUUUUCGAAUCAUAUUUGUCUAAAAUUAUCGAACAAAGUUCUGAUUCUGACAAAUAUUGUUGAAACAUAAUAAAAUAACAUGUUAAACGUCUUGUUGAAAACACUCAAAUUACUUCGUUCAAGAACAUGUUAAGAAUAAGAUGCAAAUAUGAAGCAUUAAUUUUUUCUGAAAAUUCUUUCAGUGGAUUGUAAUUGAAUGUAAUAUGCUCUGCAUGUGCUUUAGAAUUGAUUUUUUGAAAUUCGCUAUUUAAAAGGGAACUGCUGUGUUUAGAAAAAAUAUUCUGUAACACUUCUCUGUUCCCGGGAAAGUUUAUGAAAUUCCUCUCUGUUGCUAUGCAACUGAAAAAAAGGACAAAAUUUUUGAUUAUUGCUAACCAGCUUGGAUUAUCACAGAAGAAAACCAUUUUUUGGUUUGACAUGCAUCUCUACAAAGAUUUUUUAUUUUUAUUAAUUAGUUAUAAGUACAAAGCUGCUACGAUGUACUUUUUUGCUUAAAAAACAAUUAUAAAACAGUAUUCCUCUAUUUAUCUAAGUGAUAUUGGUUUAUUAUUAUUGAUAAUUUAUUUUCUAUUUUAAUAUGAGGAGUGACAGUCAUAAGGUACAAACCAAUUAAAAUCUGGUAUGUUUACAAUAGUUUCAGAGUUUAAUGAAAAUUUAUUUGUCGAAAAGUUAAAGUAAUGCUUUUUUUUUAAUGUUUCUACAAUUUCAAUAUUUUUGAGUUAAAAACUUUAAUUUUAAGAGCUGGUGUAUUAAUCCAGUGUUAUGAUUAUUUAUGUUUUAAUUUAUAAUUUAAGUACGAUAGUUUUUAAUUCAUACUAUUCAGGAAUCAGUGUCCUUAAUGUUGUUGCAGGUUGGUAAAAAAAAGAAAGAAUUAUUGAAAUUUAAAAAUUUACUUUUUUACUUAAAAGUUGAGGUAGUGAUUUUUUAAAAUACUUUUAAAAUUUAAAUAUUUUUGAGAUUUAAAACUCCAUGAUUAUAUAUUUUUUUAAAUAGUAUUUCCUUUUCAAAAGAAUGGAAGGCACUAGUACUGGAUUGUGGAUAGUGAUAUAUUUUUAUGCUAAAGUGAGAUUGCAUUAUUUAUUUUCGUGCUUGAUUAUACACUUUGUUAAUAAAAUGGGCGUCUCAAGGUUACGUAAUUUCCACACUCCAUUACCAUGGCUUUGGUAAAUCUUGCUUUCUAUGCUAGUACAUUUUAGUACAAAGUACAAACUUGGAAAAUACUCGCCUGUGGGAAAAGUAAGAUUUACCAAAACCAUGGUGACGGAGAGGGAGAAAGUGUGGAGAAUGAGGAAAUAGUGUAACUUUGAGAUGCCUAUUUUAGUUACAAAAAGUAUAGUGUUCCUAACUACUUGUAAAGUGAUAUCCCACUUACUGUAACUUGUAGUUUAAUUUAUUAUUAGUGAUAUUUUUUUUUAAAAAAGGAAGUUUUAUUCUAAUUUUUUAUGAUUUAAUUUUUUUUCUUUUACUUUGUGUUGAUUAUUUAUGUAUGCUUAAUUUUAUUGAACGAAAAUUGCCAAAAGAGUUAUGCCAUUUCUUUAUGAAUACAAAUUGUUAAAUAAGAUGUAUUUAAAAAAACCAAUAUUUUCCAUCUUGUCAUUCAUAGUUUAACAGAAUAUAUUUUAAUUGUUAAGUCACAAAUUAGAGUUGUGGAGUUGAUAGUUGGUCAGAAGGUGGCUUUAGAUUCCAAAAUUAAACUCUAUUAAAAUUUUAACUGAACCCCAGUAAAAGUAAUUGAUAUAAUUACUAAAUAAAUGUUUAUUUCAAGUAACAUAUUACUACUAUUUUUAUGUUAGAUUAUAGUAAAUGUUUUUUUCUUCUAAAUAAUAUUUGAUAUAACAAACAUUUAUUUAAAAAAGUUAAAAAGUUGUUAAUCUAUUUGAUAAUCAACUCCCUGCGAAAUGGUCUUCAACUUUUGACUCCACAGCCCUGGUUAUAAAACAAUGUGAUGAGAACUUUUGUUGCUAAUUGUGCUCACAAAGUGCUUUGGAAAAUAAUACAUAUCUUCUUUGCAAUUGUUGCUUUUGUUUAAUUAUUUGAAAAGCAUGUUUUAUAUAUGUAAUAAUCAGAAUUUAGCUUAUUUUUACUCUACUUAACCGACUGUAAUAAAACACGUUUUAUUAA